UUGGGGCCAAGAAAUUAAAGUUUGGAAGGUUAAAAAAUAAAAAAAAUAAAGUUGAAAAAUUUAAAACCGACUCACCCAAGAAUCAAGCCAGCUUUGGUACGGAACAUCCUAGAUACUUUGGUUUGGUACGCAGCCGAGCCAGCUCAGAAUAGAUCCAAGCCAGCUCUCUCAGGGUGACAAUGAAGAGGUUUUUGGAUUCUACAGAUCGAGCCA
rnacentral:lncRNA from 1 species